rnacentral:rRNA from 1 species
AGAGAGAGACAUGCGCGCAUAUCAAUAAGCGGAGGAAAAGAAACUAACAAGGAUUCCCCUAGUAACGGCGAGUGAAGCGGGAAGAGCUCAAAUUUGAAAUCUUAAAGGGUUUCCCUUUACGAAUUGUAGUUUAAAGAAGUGUUUUCUGUUGAGGUUUUGGUAAAAGUUCUUUGGAAUAGGACAUCAUAGAGGGUGAGAAUCCCGUAUUUGACCUUUACUUUCAACUUUGUGAUACACUUUCAAAGAGUCGGAUUGUUUGGGAAUGCAGUCCAAAAUGGGUGGUAAAUUUCAUCUAAAGCUAAAUAUUGGCGAGAGACCGAUAGCGAACAAGUACCGUGAGGGAAAGAUGAAAAGAACUUUGAAAAGAGAGUUAAACAGUACGUGAAAUUGUCAAAAGGGAAGCGUUUGACACCAGUGUUGUUUUUCUGAAAAUCAAUUAAAGAACUGUUUAUGCUAAGUUGUUUAGACUUUAUCAGCUAUCUGUUUAGUUUUGAGCUUUUCUUUGAUGCACUUUUCAGUUAACAAGUCAACAUCAAUUUCUUUUGCUGUAAAAAAGCUUGAGGAAGGUGGCUUGAGAUUCGUCUUAAGUGUUUAUAGCCUCUUGCCUAUGCAGUCGGAGAGAUUGAGGUCUGCAGCGUAGAAUCCUUCGGGGCUAAAUGCAUUUGUGCUAAGUUAUAGCAUUUUAUAGACAACUUGUUGACUAUGAUUUGUCUUGUAGCUUACUCGCUUAUGUUAUUUUACCUACGCUUAGGAUGUUGAGCGCAUGUCUCUCUCU